rnacentral:rRNA from 1 species
CAGUAGCCGCGGUAAUACGUAGGGUGCGAGCGUUAAUCGGAAUUACUGGGCGUAAAGCGUGCGCAGGCGGUUCGUUAAGACAGAUGUGAAAUCCCCGGGCUUAACCUGGGAACUGCAUUUGUGACUGGCGGGCUAGAGUAUGGCAGAGGGGGGUAGAAUUCCACGUGUAGCAGUGAAAUGCGUAGAGAUGUGGAGGAAUACCGAUGGCGAAGGCAGCCCCCUGGGCCAAUACUGACGCUCAUGCACGAAAGCGUGGGGAGCAAACAGGAUUAGAUACCCGUGUAGUCCCUGUCUCUUAUAC